AACGUAGGAGGCGAGCGUUAUCCGGAGUUACUGGGCGUAAAGAGCGUGUAGGCGGGUACGCAAGGUUGGCGUGAAAGCUCCCGGCUAAACUGGGAGAGUGCGCUGAAGACUGCGUGUCUAGAGGCGAGUAGAGGGACGUGGAAUUCCGGGUGUAGUGGUGAAAUGCGUAGAGAUCCGGAGGAACACCAGUGGCGAAGGCGACGUCCUGGGCUUGACCUGACGCUGAGACGCGACAGCACGGGGAGCGAACGGG
rnacentral:rRNA from 1 species